CAGCAGCCGCGGUCAUACGAGGGGGGCAAGCGUUGUUCGGAAUUAUUGGGCGUAAAGGGUGCGUAGGCGGUUUCGUAAGUCUGAUGUGAAAUCUAUGGGCUCAACCCAUAGUCUGCAUCGGAAACUGCGAGGCUUGAGAAUGGGAGAGGUGAGUGGAAUUUCCGGUGUAGCGGUGAAAUGCGUAGAUAUCGGAAGGAACACCUGUGGCGAAAGCGGCUCACUGGACCAUUUCUGACGCUGAUGCACGAAAGCUAGGGGAGCAAACAGGAUUAGAUACCCCCGUAGUCCCUGUCUCUUAUAA
rnacentral:rRNA from 1 species